CCUACGGGAGGCUGCAGUGAGGAAUAUUGGUCAAUGGGCGCGAGCCUGAACCAGCCAAGUCGCGUGAGGGAUGACUGCUCUAUGGAUUGUAAACCUCUUUUAUAAGGGAAUAAAGUGUGGGACGGGUCCUCUUUUGUAUGUACCGUAUGAAUAAGGAUCGGUGAACUCCGUGCCAGCAGCCGCGGUAAUACGGAGGAUCCGAGCGUUAUCCGGAUUUAUUGGGUUUAAAGGGUGCGUAGGCGGGAUUUUAAGGAAGGGGGGAAAGUCGGGGGCUCAACCCACAGAUUGCCGUUGAAACUGGGGGGCUAGAGUGUGUGUGAGGUAGGCGGAAUGCGUGGUGUAGCGGUGAAAUGCUUAGAUAUCACGCAGAACCCCGAUUGCGAAGGCAGCAUACCGGGGCAUAACUGACGCUGAGGCACGAAAGCGUGGGGAUCGAACAGGAUUAGAUACCCGGGUAGUC
rnacentral:rRNA from 1 species